UACAGAGGUGGCAAGCGUUGUUCGGAAUUACUGGGCGUAAAGGGCGCGUAGGCGGCUUGGUCAGUCCCGUGUGAAAUCCCUCGGCUCAACUGAGGAACUGCACGGGAAACUGCCUGGCUUGAGUUCGGGAGAGGGAAGCGGAAUUCCGGGUGUAGCGGUGAAAUGCGUAGAUAUCCGGAGGAACACCGGUGGCGAAGGCGGCUUCCUAGACCGACACUGACGCUGAGGCGCGAAAGCUAGGGGAGCAAACGGG
rnacentral:rRNA from 1 species